rnacentral:snRNA from 1 species
GGGCCUGCUGAAGCAGUUGU